rnacentral:tRNA from 1 species
GGGCCGGUAGUUCAGCUGGUAGAAUGCCCGCCUUGCACGCGGGAGGUCGCGGGUUCAAAUCCCGCCCGGUCCA